CGUGAGGGAAAGGUGAAAAGCACCCCGGAAGGGGAGUGAAACAGUUCCUGAAACCGUGUGCCUACAAGUAGUUAGAGCCCGUUAAUGGGUGAUAGCGUGCCUUUUGUAGAAUGAACCGGCGAGUUACGAUUUGUUGCAAGGUUAAGCGGAAAAAGCGGAGCCGUAGCGAAAGCGAGUCUGAAUAGGGCGCAUAAGUAACAGGUCGUAGACCCGAAACCAGGUGAUCUACCCAUGUCCAGGAUGAAGGUAAGGUAAUACUUACUGGAGGUCCGAACCCACGCACGUUGAAAAGUGCGGGGAUGAGGUGUGGGUAGCGGAGAAAUUCCAAUCGAACUUGGAGAUAGCUGGUUCUCUCCGAAAUAGCUUUAGGGCUAGCCUCGAGGUAAAGAGUCAUGGAGGUAGAGCACUGUUUGGACUAGGGGCCCUUCUCGGGUUACCGAAUUCAGAUAAACUCCGAAUGCCAUGUACUUAUACUCGGGAGUCAGACUGCGAGUGAUAAGAUCCGUAGUCGAAAGGGAAACAGCCCAGACCACCAGUUAAGGUCCCCAAAUAUAUGUUAAGUGGAAAAGGAUGUGGGGUUGCUUAGACAACCAGGAUGUUGGCUUAGAAGCAGCCACCAUUGAAAGAGUGCGUAAUAGCUCACUGGUCGAGUGACCCCGCGCCGAAAAUGUACCGGGGCUAAACAUAUUACCGAAACUGUGGAUGAACCUCUUUAGAGGUUCGUGGUAGGAGAGCGUUCUAAGGGCGGUGAAGUCAGACCGGAAGGACUGGUGGAGCGCUUAGAAGUGAGAAUGCCGGUAUGAGUAGCGAAAGAAGGGUGAG
rnacentral:rRNA from 1 species